rnacentral:snoRNA from 1 species
GGCAAGUGAUGAUUAAUGGCUAUUUUGUUAUCUGAUGUAUAACUGCCUGUAAUCUUAGUGAGUGAGACCGCUAGAUAUGUCACUUGCUGUAAGGCCAGGCAUACAGUAACUCUCCAGCUGUAAAUGUUGUGCUGGAGGUUUAAGAAUGAACCUCUUGUUUUCCUUGACAGCACAUUCUAAAUUAUCAUUUUAUUUUUAUUAUUAAUUAUUAUUAUUAUUAUUAUACUCAUCAACUUUUAUAAUGAUGAUUCUUUGGUAAUCUGAUGCCA